rnacentral:rRNA from 1 species
AGGGAAUAUUGGACAAUGGGCGCAAGCCUGAUCCAGCCAUGCCGCGUGAGUGAAGAAGGCCUUCGGGUUGUAAAGCUCUUUUGUCCGGAAAGAAAAGCACCUGGUUAAUACCUGGGUGUCCUGACGGUACCGGAAGAAUAAGCACCGGCUAACUUCGUGCCAGCAGCCGCGGUAAUACGAAGGGUGCAAGCGUUACUCGGAAUUACUGGGCGUAAAGCGUGCAUAGGUGGUUCGUUAAGUCUGAUGUGAAAGCCUUGGGCUCAACCUGGGAAUGGCAUUGGAUACUGGCGGGCUAGAGUGCGGUAGAGGGCAGUGGAAUUCCCGGUGUAGCAGUGAAAUGCGUAGAGAUCGGGAGGAACAUCUGUGGCGAAGGCGACUGCCUGGACCAGCACUGACACUGAGGCACGAAAGCGUGGGGAGCAAA